UUUUGAGUCUUGGCUGCCGACGGUUCCCACAACUUGAAUGAAGCAAAGAGCUUCUCCCCAUUGUGUAGCACCACCUAUGGUCAGUGUCAUUGUCGACUCUCCCCUUCGUGCACACGGCCACAAUGUCAUGGACUCCCUCUCUUUCUCUAGGAUUUAGAUUGGGCUGUGACAAAAUUAAACCAUCAGAGAUAACCAUUGUAAGAUUCAUCGCCUCGAUUACUAUCGCCAUCGUGUCCAAUGGAAGGUGGCAUUGCACAAUCCUGUUCAAAGUGCUGCAAGGACGUUUCCAACACCCUAGAUAGUGUUGUUGCGCUCUCUAUAUUCCAUGGGCUCAUCGCACAUGAUUAGGUGUUAGAUAGUAACCCUCCGACCAUUUUCGGGUACGGGACGUUACAGUCUACCUCUGGUUUUUGUACAUUCCUUGGAAGUAACCUCAUCUCAUGGAGUGCCAAGAAACAAGCAACCAUGGCCUGCUCCACUGCUGAAGCAUAGUACAGAUCGAUGGUUGCCACUGCCAUUGAGCUCACCUGGGUAUCUUUUCUUUUACGUAAUCUUAGCAUCCCCUUACACCGUGCUCCUGUACUCCACUGUGGCAACAUGAGUGCUCUCUAUAUGAAGAUUAAUCCCAUUCUUCAUGCUUGGACAAAACAUAUUGAGCUUGAUUAUCAUUUCAUUUGUGAACGUGUAGCUCUUGGCAUCUUGGAGAAUCGUUUUGUCACCUCUGCAAAUCAGCUAGCUGAUAUCUACACGAAGCCAUUGCCCAAGGCUCUCUUUCAUGUCUUCUGUAGAAAACUUGACCUCUGUCUUGAUCCUCAGUCAUGUUUGAAGGGCAGUGAAAGCACUACUACAUCAGUGGAGAAGAUUACACAGCACCGUGAUCCUGGCUACAUUAAAAUGCAAGAGAAUAUCUCUCAUCAUGAAGAGGAUAUCACGCAUCAAGGCUUGGAAAAUUGAUAGAAUAUUUUCUGCAUCAUUAUUGGAAAGUCAAGCUGUAAUUUCCCUUAUUUAAUACGUAAAUACAACACUCCUGUAUGUAAUUACUCUGUAAAUACAGUAUAUAAUGAAAUGCUAGUCUUCUCUCUAUCUCAUCCCGUGAGAUAGAAUUUCUCAAA